AGGACGAACGCUGGCGGCGUGCUUAACACAUGCAAGUCGAGCGGAAAGGCCCUUCGGGGUACUCGAGCGGCGAACGGAUGAGUAACACGUGAGCAACCUGCCCCUAGCUUCGGGAUAGCUCCGGGAAACCGGAAUUAAUACCGAAUAUGGCCAUGGACGACAUCAGCCAUGGUGGAAAGUUUUUCGGCUAGGGAUGGACUCGCGGCCUAUCAGCUAGUUGGUGAGGUAACGGCCCACCAAGGCGACGACGGGUA
rnacentral:rRNA from 1 species